rnacentral:rRNA from 1 species
CCUACGGGUGGCUGCAGUAAGGAAUAUUGGUCAAUGGACGAAAGUCUGAACCAGCCAUGCCGCGUGGAGGAUGAAGGUCCUCUGGAUUGUAAACUUCUUUUAUAUGGGACGAAAAAAGGCCUUUCUAGGCCGUCUGACGGUACCAUAUGAAUAAGCACAGGCUAACUCCGUGCCAGCAGCCGCGGUAAUACGGAGGGUGCAAGCGUUAUCCGGUUUCACGGGGGCGUAGGGGUGCGUAUAAGUCAGUAGAGAAAUCUCCGAGCUUAACUUUGAAACUGCCAUUGAUACUAGUAAUCUUGAAUAUUGUGGAGGUUAGCGGAAUAUGUCAUGUAGCGGUGAAAUGCUUAGAUAUGACAUAGAACACCAAUUGCGAAGGCAGCUGGCUACACAUAUAUUGACACUGAGGCACGAAAGCGUGGGGAUCAAACAGGAUUAGAUACCCUUGUAGUC